CACAAUCACAAAAACACCCCUACAGUUCGACCAUUCAGAAUCUGUCACUGCGUACCGGUACACUGGCCCGUGUAUCGGUACACAUCCCACGAAAAUGCCAAACCCGAGCCUCGGGUUGGCUGGGAAGCUGCCUUUGUACCAGUACACGACGCCGUACCGGUAAAGCAAUCAACCCCGUACCGGUACAGCCACCAACCCUGUACCGGUACACAGCCUGCUGCAGGCUACCCGAGAGCUAACCAAAAAUCCGUCUUUUCG
rnacentral:lncRNA from 1 species